rnacentral:rRNA from 1 species
GUGGGGAAUAUUGGGCAAUGGGGGAAACCCUGACCCAGCGACGCCGCGUGAGGGAAGAAGGCCUUAGGGUCGUAAACCUCUGUUGUGUGGGAAGAAGAGCGUGACGGUACCACACGAGGAAGUCCCGGCUAACUACGUGCCAGCAGCCGCGGUAAUACGUAGGGGACGAGCGUUGUCCGGAUUUACUGGGCGUAAAGGGCGCGUAGGCGGUCAUUUAAGUCAGCUGUGAAAUGGUUUGGCUUAACCGGAUCAUGCGGUUGAAACUGGAUGGCUGGAGUACUGGAGAGGCAAGUGGAAUUCCCAGUGUAGCGGUGAAAUGCGUAGAUAUUGGGAAGAACACCGGUGGCGAAGGCGACUUGCUGGCCAGCAACUGACGCUGAGGCGCGAAAGCCAGGGGAGCAAACGGGAUUAGAAACCCGUGUAGUCC